rnacentral:rRNA from 1 species
AAACCCUNUGGAUAUUCAGAAUUGCAGAUUGUGCGUUCUCAGAGAAUCUNAGACCCCACAUUGCACCNUUNGGUAUUCCAGAGGGUAUGCCUGUNUGAGCGUCAUUUCUCUCUCAAACAAUCGGGUUUGGUAUUGAGUGAUACUCUGUCAAGGGUUAACUUGAAAUAUUGACUUAGCAAGAGUGUASUAAUAAGCAGUCUUUCUGAAAUAAUGUAUUAGGUUCUUCCAACUCGUUAUAUCAGCUAGGCAGGUUUAGAAGUAUUUUAGGCUCGGCUUAACAACAAUAAACUAAAAGUUGACCUCAAAUCAGGUA